rnacentral:rRNA from 1 species
GUAGCGUGAAGGAUGACUGCCCUAUGGGUUGUAAACUUCUUUUAUAAAGGAAUAAAGUCGGGUAUGCAUACCCGUUUGCAUGUACUUUAUGAAUAAGGAUCGGCUAACUCCGUGCCAGCAGCCGCGGUAAUACGGAGGAUCCGAGCGUUAUCCGGAUUUAUUGGGUUUAAAGGGAGCGUAGAUGGAUGUUUAAGUCAGUUGUGAAAGUUUGCGGCUCAACCGUAAAAUUGCAGUUGAUACUGGAUGUCUUGAGUGCAGUUGAGGCAGGCGGAAUUCGUGGUGUAGCGGUGAAAUGCUUAGAUAUCACGAAGAACUCCGAUUGCGAAGGCAGCCUGCUAAGCUGCAACUGACAUUGAGGCUCGAAAGUGUGGGUAUCAAACAGGAUUAGAUACCCUGGUAGUCCACACGGUAACCGAUGAAUACUCGCUGUUUGCGAUAUACGGCAAGCGGCCAAGCGAAAGCGUUAAGUAUUCCACCUGGGGAGUACG